rnacentral:rRNA from 1 species
GAUGAACGCUGGCGGCGUGCCUAAUACAUGCAAGUCGAGCGAACGGACGAGAAGCUUGCUUCUCUGAUGUUAGCGGCGGACGGGUGAGUAACACGUGGAUAACCUACCUAUAAGACUGGGAUAACUUCGGGAAACCGUAGCUAAUACUGGAUAAUAUUUUGAACCGCAUGGUUCAAAAGUGAAAGACGGUCUUGCUGUCACUUAUAGAUGGAUCCGCGCUGCAUUAGCUAGUUGGUAAGGUAACGGCUUACCAAGGCAACGAUGCAUAGCCGACCUGAGAGGGUGAUCGGCCACACUGGAACUGAGACACGGUCCAGACUCCUACGGGAGGCAGCAGUAGGGAAUCUUCCGCAAUGGGCGAAAGCCUGACGGAGCAACGCCGCGUGAGUGAUGAAGGUCUUCGGAUCGUAAAACUCUGUUAUUAGGGAAGAACAUAUGUGUAAGUAACUGUGCACAUCUUGACGGUACCUAAUCAGAAAGCCACGGCUAACUACGUG